UAAAUCAAUUUUAAUCUCUAUUAAAAUAUCUGUCUUGCAAUUCAGUGAAUUUUGAAGGUUUCAAUUUGUUUCUGUUUUUAUUCAUGAUAUUGAUAUGUAAGUUUCUGUUUAUUUCUGGUUUCAAUUCACACUGCAUGGUUUUCUAGUAAUGGAAAUUGUAUGCUUUCUUAGGGGGGGACUAUAAUAUGAUGAGAACCGGAGAGGGUGAUUGCUUUUUGCAACUUUAAUUUGAUAGAUACAUUCUCUUUCACCUUUUGUAGUCGCCUUUUAUCAGUUCAGCAUAAAGCAGCUAGUAUGCUUGGAAAUGCAAGUAAAUUUUUAUUGCAAUUUUUGAAAUAUAACCUAGAUAUUCUUCAUUAGUUCUUUGUCCAUGUCAUGAUGAAUACCUAAAAUGUUUAAUGCUCAUUGGACCGGCAAAUAGUGAUUGAGAUUCAAUAUCAUUUUUUAUCUUCUAUUUGGUUACUUAAGCAGAUAAGCAUGGCUAGGACAUGCCUACAUACGUGCUGCCUAAGCCUUUGUCUUCCCAUGCCCUAUUUGAUUAUCAUAAUCAUCAAUCUAUUAAUUUAUCUGCUAUUUUUGAUGAUUAAUGCUGAUUAGCAUGACUAGAAGACACCUAUUCAUGUGCCGCCAAACCCAUUUUCUUCUUCUCUCUCCCCACAACACAAAAAAAAGGCCUUCCCCUUUUCUAUUGAAAUAUUAUUCCCAAAGAAAAUUUUUGUUGAGCACCUGCUUGGAUGUUUUUCUUCUAGUAUACAAAUUUGAGGCAUCUUAUGAAGAGCAUAAGAACGCCAAUGACAUUCUUGAUGCUCGUAUGAUAUCCUGUGCAUUUAUUGAUUUGAUUUCUCAAUUUUUAAGUUGUUGCAAAUUAUUCUAAUUGCCACCAAAAGUGAGAAUAAA
rnacentral:misc_RNA from 1 species